UACGUAGGGUGCGAGCGUUAAUCGGAAUUACUGGGCGUAAAGCGUGCGCAGGCGGUUUUGUAAGCCAGAUGUGAAAGCCCCGGGCUUAACCUGGGAAUGGCAUUUGGGACUGCAAGGCUGGAGUGUGGCAGAGGAGACUGGAAUUCCUGGUGUAGCAGUGAAAUGCGUAGAUAUCAGGAGGAACACCGAUGGCGAAGGCAGGUCUCGGGGCUGACACUGACGCUCAUGCACGAAAGCGUGGGGAGCAAACAGG
rnacentral:rRNA from 1 species